rnacentral:rRNA from 1 species
GUGGGGAAUCUUCCGCAAUGGACGAAAGUCUGACGGAGCAACGCCGCGUGAGUGAUGAAGGUUUUCGGAUUGUAAACCUCUGUCCUUGGUGACGAAGGAAGUGACGGUAACCAAGGAGGAAGCCCCGGCUAACUACGUGCCAGCAGCCGCGGUAAUACGUAGGGGGCAAGCGUUGUCCGGAAUGACUGGGCGUAAAGGGCGUGUAGGCGGCCGAUUAAGUCUGGAGUGAAAGUCCUGCUUUCAAGGUGGGAAUUGCUUUGGAGACUGGUUGGCUUGAGUGCGGAAGAGGUAAGUGGAAUUCCCAGUGUAGCGGUGAAAUGCGUAGAGAUUGGGAGGAACACCAGUGGCGAAGGCGACUUACUGGGCCGUAACUGACGCUGAGGCGCGAAAGCGUGGGGAGCGAACAGGAUUAGAUACCCUAGUAGUCC